UACGUAGGGGGCAAGCGUUGUCCGGAUUUAUUGGGCGUAAAGAGCGCGUAGGCGGCCAGGUAAGUCCGACGUGAAAUCUGGAGGCUCAACCUCCAGCGGUCGUUGGAAACUACCUGGCUAGAGUCCGGAAGAGGAGAGUGGAAUUCCUGGUGUAGCGGUGAAAUGCGCAGAUAUCAGGAAGAACACCAAUGGCGAAAGCAGCUCUCUGGGACGGUACUGACGCUGAGGCGCGAAAGCGUGGGGAGCGAACAGGAUUAGAAACCCCCGUAGUCC
rnacentral:rRNA from 1 species